rnacentral:rRNA from 1 species
UACAGAGGUCUCAAGCGUUGUUCGGAUUCAUUGGGCGUAAAGGGUGCGUAGGUGGUGAUGCAAGUCUGGUGUGAAAUCUCGGAGCUCAACUCCGGAAUUGCACCGGAUACUGCGUGACUCGAGGACUGUAGAGGAGAUCGGAAUUCACGGUGUAGCAGUGAAAUGCGUAGAUAUCGUGAGGAAGACCAGUUGCGAAGGCGGAUCUCUGGGCAGUUCCUGACACUGAGGCACGAAGGCCAGGGGAGCAAACGGG